rnacentral:rRNA from 1 species
UGAGUAACCUGCCCUUAACUCUGGGAUAAGCCUGGGGAAACUGGGUCUAAUACCCGGAUAUGACUCCUCAUCGCAUGGUGGGGGGGUGGAAAGCUUUAUUGUGGUUUUGGAUGGACUCGCGGCCUAUCAGCUUGUUGGUGAGGUAAUGGCUCACCAAGGCGACGACGGGUAGCCGGCCUGAGAGGGUGACCGGCCACACUGGGACUGAGACACGGCCCAGACUCCUACGGGAGCAGG